AAAGCAGGCAGAUUCAAUUUUCUGCCACCGAAUACAUUAGCAUGGGAUAAUGGAAUAGGACCCUGUCCUCCUAUUUUCAGUUGGUUUUGGCAGCGCGAGGACUAGGGUAAUGAUUAAUAGGGAUAGUUGGGGGCAUUAAUAUUUAAUUGUCAGAGGUGAAAUUCUUGGAUUUAUGAAAGAUUAACUUCUGCGAAAGCAUCUGCCAAGGAUGUUUUCAUUAAUCAAGAACGAAAGUUAGGGGAUCCAAGACGAUCACAUACCGUCGUAGUCUUAACCAUAAACGAUGCCGACCAGCGAUUAGGAGACGUUGAAUACCAAACACCACCACCGGCGCGGACGCCCCCGGAGAUCGCGUUCCCCCCCCACCGCAAGGGCCCCUCCCCCCCCCCGGCACC
rnacentral:rRNA from 1 species